GUUCUGGAGACUGGGAAUUCCAAGAGCAUGAUACCAGCAUCUGGCGAGCGUUAUCCCCUGGUAGGAAGUAUCACAUGUGCUGGUUAAUUAACCAAUCAUAAAGAAAAGAUGAAAGUAUGUGAACCUCAAAUCCUUGUGUUCUGGAAAAAAAACAUACUCACAGAAUAAUGAAAAAAAAUUUCAACUAAUGAGAACCAGGAACAAUGACCACUGGAAAUAAUGAAAACAGUUGGAUCAAACAGCUACAAGUAAAGCACUUGGAAUGGUAGAGUGCUUCCCUCAAUGGAUGGAAGGAGACUGGAUCCCUCUGACACUGACUGGAAGAGCUCUGCUAAGCAAAGCUGCGAGCUCAUGAAAGACUGUGAGGAGAGUAAGAGGUAACCUUUUAUUGUGUUAAGUCAUUAAUGUCAGGGUUUACUUGUUACUACAGCAUGGCUUCCUCUAACACCUCCUCUUAUCAACUGCCUUUUCUGAGUCUUUCCUUGACUCAUGAUUUUGAGUUAACUUAGUAAACUUACCAAAGGCUGACUUUGCACCAAGAAUCAUUAUAGGUACUGGAAAAUUUAAAAGAUGAAGGAGGUGGAGUCAUUUUUUCCUAAGGAGCUGGGAGAGGAGAUAAGAAAUGGGAUCAAAUAAUGAACAACAAGUUUCAAAGGGAUCAGAGUCCAAUAAAACCUGCCGCCUGAGCUCUUAAGAGAGAAAUGGAAAUCGUAGUUGUGAACAUCAGGCUUUCUAGAAGUGGCUGUACCAACAUCAGCCUUGAAAGAGCUCAAUCCAGCAGAUCCUGUCCCACUUGGAACCUGGCUAUGAGUGAGAAAACAUCUGUGGUUGGAAAAUGGGGCUGGUGAUUCAGGCCUGUUUGGGAAGAAGAUGCUCUUGAAUGCUUUGCUCAACAAACACCUCCCUUCUGCAAGGAGGUGAGAGGUCAUCUGUCUGUCUACUUUGACACUUUCACCCACUGAACUUCAGGGCUUAAGACACCUUCCCCAUAAAUUGGAGUGAGCGCGGCACAAACUGUCCCUGAAUUUGACCAUAACUGACUCACCAAAGGUCUGAGUAGGGGAGAAGGCAAAAACAGACAAACAGGCACUGAGGACUUUGCCAUCCCAGACCUGUGUCAUGUAAACAGGCUGUCUGCUUCACAGCCAAGGAAUGAGCCCUGGACGUGGGUCGGAACUGGAGCCUUAACAGCUAAUACCCAGAGCCUUUGACUGUGGACGACUGUGUUCAAAGGGGCAGGCUGCCCACUACUAGGGCAUGGAGGAGAGGCAGGAUGUGGGGAAAGAGUGUGGUUUUGGAAUCAGACACAACUGGUCCCCGCCACUUACUCAGCCUUGUGACCUCAGAUGAAAAAGUCUCUUAUUCUUACUAAGGCUCAGUUUCCCCAACUGUGAAACUGACAUAACACUAUGGACUUCAAAAGGCUUUACAAGCAAAACAAUUUAUAAAACAAUUUAUUCAACAAUUUAUUCAGGCACUUAGCACAGUGCUAGCACAUAGAUAUAAGUAACAGUUUUUUUUCUCUGUUCCUUCUACGUGGAGGAGAGGCAUCUGUUGUCUCUUCAAGUUAAUUAAUUUGAAAAUAUCCAGUAGCAACCAUUUCUUAAAUUCCUCUUACGAGCCAUUUAGUUUUGCAACAACUGCAAGAUAGACAGUAUUAUUCCCAUUUUACAGAUAUGGACAUUGAAGCUCAGGAGGUACACCGGAUAUAGUGACUUUGAUCUUCUCAUUGCCCUGACACUGAUGAGAGAGAGAUAACAAAAUCAAAAAGAACAGUUGGAGGAAUAAAUGUCAAAUAUAGGAGGCUGGAAGCAUAGUCUCUAACCUCAGUCUAGCCUCGGAUAAUAGCAUUUUCAUCUUGCUACAGCAGUAGCAGACACCAGCUGGGUGCCUUCUCCCUAUUUUAUUCAUUUGUAUGUUCAUUGAGCAAUUUAUCUAUUGCUAAUUCCUUAGCAAGCAUUUACUGUGACCUUCCUUUUAUUAUUACUAUUAUUAUUAUUCAUUUUAGAGACAGGGCUAUGCCAUUAUGUUGCCUACGCUGGAGGGCAGUGGUUAUUUACAGGUGUGAUGCCGCUACUGAUCAGCAUGGGAGUUUUGACCUGAUUCAUUUCUGAUCUGGGCCCAUUUGCCCCUCCUUAGGCAACCUGUGAUGCCCCACUCCCAGGAAGUCACUGUAUUGAUGCUGAACUUAGUGUGGGCACUUCAUGGGCACAGCACACUACAGCCCAGAACUCCUGGGCUCAAGUGAUCCUUCCACCACAGCUUUUCCAGCAGCUGGGACUACAGGUACAUGCCAUUGUGCUCAGCUACUGUGUACUUCCUAUGUCCUCAAAUCCUGCUACUCAAAACAUAAUUCCUAAGCCAGAAGCAUCAGCAUCACUGAGAGCUUAUUAGAAAUGCUGAUUCUCAGGCCUAACCUCGGACCAACUGAACCAGAGAAUCUGCAUUUUAACAAGAUCCCUGGGUGAUUCACAGCAUAUAUGAAAGAUUGAAAAUUGCUAUCCUUGAUGCUUUUCUUUUUUUUUUUUUUUUUUUGAGAU
rnacentral:lncRNA from 1 species